rnacentral:rRNA from 1 species
AUUGAACGCUGGCGGCAGGCCUAACACAUGCAAGUCGAACGAGUGGCGGACGGGUGAGUAAUGUCUGGGAAACUGUCUGAUGGAGGGGGAUAACUACUGGACACGGUAGCUAAUACCGCAUACCAUCGGAUGUGCCCAGAUGGGAUUAGCUAGUAGGUGGGGUAAAGGCUCACCUAGGCGACGAUCCCUAGCUGGUCUGAGAGGAUGACCAGCCACACUGGAACUGAGACACGGCCCAGACUCCUACGGGAGGCAGCAGUGGGGAAUUUUGGACAAUGGGGGAAAGCCUGAUGCAGCCAUCCCGCGUGUAUGAUGAAGGCCUUCGGGUUGUAAAGUACUUUUGGCAGGGAGGCGGUAUCUGCAGAAUAAGCACCGGCUAACUACGUGCCAGCAGCCGCGGUAAUAC